rnacentral:misc_RNA from 1 species
AACGCACAUUGCGCUUCCUGGUAUUCCGGGGAGCAUGCUCGUUUCAGAAUCAAUAUGUUCUCACAAACUAUAUGGGUUGCAAAACCCCUAUUGGGCGUGGAUUUGGGCAUUUUUGCUAUGGUGCCUUUGUGCAACAUUGCAAUUGCCUUAAAAUGAUUGCGUGUAUGCCCCAAUUGGUAGUAAUUGGUUUACCCUCAAUGCAACAGUCAAAUGGAACAUUUUGGGGGACCUUUUGUGAACAUUGGACUUGGAAUACACUUCCAUUCUAUACAGCAACCAUCUCUAGUAUUGAGAUUGUUUCUGAACCUUGGUCUGAAAUCGAGCAAGAAAACCCGCUGAACUUAA